AACGAACGCUGGCGGCAGGCCUAACACAUGCAAGUCGAACGAGUAAGAGCCGUAGCAAUACGGAGUUCUGCUAGUGGCGCACGGGUGAGUAACGCGUGGGAACGUGCCUUGGAGUUCGGGAUAACAGUUGGAAACGACUGCUAAUACCGAAUAUUCCCUCAGGGGGAAAGAUUUAUCGCUCCAAGAUCGGCCCGCGUAAGAUUAGGUAGUUGGUGGGGUAAUGGCCUACCAAGCCUACGAUCUUUAGCUGGUCUGAGAGGACGACCAGCCACACUGGAACUGAGACACGGCCCAGACUCCUACGGGAGGCAGCAGUGGGGAAUAUUGGACAAUGGGCGAAAGCCUGAUCCAGCCAUGCCGCGUGAAUGAUGAAGGCCUUAGGGUUGUAAAUUCUUUGCAGGGGAGAUAAUGACGGUACCCUGCGAAUAAGCUCCGGCUAACUUCGUGCCAGCAGCCGCGGUAA
rnacentral:rRNA from 1 species